rnacentral:rRNA from 1 species
UACGGAGGGUGCAAGCGUUAUCCGGAUUCACUGGGUUUAAAGGGUGCGUAGGUGGGCAGGUAAGUCAGUGGUGAAAUCUUUGGGCUUAACCCAGAAACUGCCAUUGAUACUAUCUGUCUUGAAUACCGUGGAGGUCAGCGGAAUAUGUCAUGUAGCGGUGAAAUGCUUAGAUAUGACAUAGAACACCAAUUGCGAAGGCAGCUGGCUACACGAAUAUUGACACUGAUGCACGAAAGCGUGGGGGAUCAAAACAGGG